CAUAAAUAAAGCUUAAAUUAGCGGUUUCAAUGUUAAUGAAAUGUAAGUAGGUUGUACGA
rnacentral:tRNA from 1 species